CCAAAAGUAUUUUAUUCAUUUCUUGAUUUCCAAUCUUCAUCUCACUUCUGUUUUUGAUUGUUUGACCUUGACUUUCAAUGUUAUUGGUCAACAUAUGAGGAUUGGUACAUUGUAUUUCAUUUAAUGCACUUUAAUUUUGCCAUUUCCAUUUCUCUUUUCCAUCUCCUUCUUCUUCUCCUUCUUAUUUUCUUUUUGAUCAAUGAGUUGAAGGUUGAUAAGUUAGCAUUGGUUAGGGAGAUUUAAUCUUCCUUGAUUCAAAUCUAAUUCAUCUUGAUCAAUUGAU
rnacentral:lncRNA from 1 species